AUCCAGCUGAGUCGCAAAUAGGUCGAAAUGCGCGUCCUGGAU
rnacentral:hammerhead_ribozyme from 1 species